rnacentral:rRNA from 1 species
GACGAACGCUGGCGGCGUGCUUAACACAUGCAAGUCGAACGGAAAGGCCCUGCUUUUGUGGGGUGCUCGCGUGGCGAACGGGUGAGUAACACGUGAGUCACCUGCCCUUGACUUUGGGAUAACUUCAGGAAACUGGGGCUAAUACCUGAUAGGAGCUCCUGCUGCAUGGUGGGGGUUGGAAAGUUUCGGCGGUUGGGGAUGGACUCGCGGCUUAUCAGCUUGUUGGUGGGGUAGUGGCUUACCAAGGCUUUGACGGGUAGCCGGCCUGAGAGGGUGACCGGCCACAUUGGGACUGAGAUACGGCCCAGACUCCUACGGGAGGCAGCAGUGGGGAAUAUUGCACAAUGGGCGGAAGCCUGAUGCAGCAACGCCGCGUGCGGGAUGACGGCCUUCGGGUUGUAAACCGCUUUCGCCUGUGACGAAGCGUGAGUGACGGUAAUGGGUAAAGAAGCACCGGCUAACUACGUG